UACGGAGGGUGCAAGCGUUAUCCGGAUUCACUGGGUUUAAAGGGUGCGUAGGAGGACAGGUAAGUCAGUGGUGAAAUCUCCGAGCUUAACUUGGAAACUGCCGUUGAUACUAUCUGCCUUGAAUAUUGUGGAGGUGAGCGGAAUAUGUCAUGUAGCGGUGAAAUGCUUAGAUAUGACAUAGAACACCAAUUGCGAAGGCAGCUGGCUACGCGAAUAUUGACACUGAUGCACGAAAGCGUGGGGAUCAAACAGG
rnacentral:rRNA from 1 species